CGGAGGUGGAGAGAUGGGCCUCCGCAUUCUCCAUCUCUUUACUUAAUUGGGGUCUUAGGAACUUCACUAAUUUUUGUGUCACUUUUGCUUAAUGCCCUUUAUCUAAAAGGAUGGGCUACUUAGAGAUCCCUGCUAGUUUGAAGUCUGACCGUGAACUUCUGUGUUUCAUCAAAACUUUAAAUAAUACCAAACAUUUUGGUGACUUGCUUCUGCCCUUUCUGCAGACAUGCGAAAAGAACCACAAUUAACACUGAAGAUGUGAAGCUCUUAGCCAGGAGGAGUAAUUCACUGCUAAAAUACAUCACAGACAAAAGUGAAGAGAUUGCUCAGAUUAACCUAGAACGAAAAGCACAGAAGAAAAAGAAGUCAGGGGAUGGAAGCAAAAAUUCAAAGCAGCCAGCAGAGGCUGGAGUGGUGGAAAGUGAGAAUUAAAGUCCCUCGCCGCUUGGAAAGUGCAGCCUUCUACAGGUAGAGCCACCUAGAAAUGCAUAUGGCUGCAAAGGAAACUUUGAAGGGUUAAAUAGAGAUUUAAAAAAAUAAAAUAAAAAGGCUGGGCUAGGGUGCUUUUUGUGCUGAAUUCUCCACAUUGUUAACUGCCAAAGCUAGUUUUAGAGAAUGAGAAAGUCUUAAGCAAAAUACUCCCAGGUCUCACUCCAGAACAUAAAAAUGGUGUGUGAUCAAAUG
rnacentral:sRNA from 1 species